UCUGUGGAGACUCGGCCGGUGGUGGGUCCGGCUGCGGUGGCCGCACGCGGACGGGGCUCGUGCCCGCGGGGUCCCGGCGCCAUGGGGGUGGAGAAGAGGCUGCUGCCGAUUAAGGAGGCCUUUCAGCUGGCGCAGCAGCCGCACCAGAACCAGGCGAAGCUGAUUCAAGGAUUUGUAGAAGAGCAAAAGAAUCUUUUGUGAUCAAAAUCUGUGUUGCCUUGUUCCAUGGGUUUGCCUUGCUCCAUGAGAGAAGUAACUCAAAAACAAGAGAGACGUAGGAUAAAAUACGAUUACGACUAGAAGCUGAUUUCUUAGAUAACGCUGGCUUCAAUUAAAAAAAUUUAAGAAACAGUUUCAGGACUGAGGCAAAUAACAAUGAAAUUCGAUUUUUAUUAUGCCAGAUUCUAAAUAAGUUCUUGGGAAAUAUGCUGGAAAAUGCCAAGACUGAUAAUAUUUUGUAUAUAAAAUUAAUGAAGCCCUCCUUUUUAUACUGAAAGAUAAAAUUCCAAAUAUGAGAAUAUAGGCAAUCCUGGCUCUUUCGAGACUUAAGACCUCUAGGUAUGACUACCGCAUGGUUAAAGGUAUGUGCAACUUCAUAGUUUUCGUUUCUUUGAUUUUAAAUGCAUAGUAGUUGAAUUUUCCCUUAUUGAAUAUAUAAUAUAUAGUGAGAGAAGAGAUAUGGUACACAAACACACACCCAAUUUAAAGAUAUGUAGUUCCAACAACAGUUCUCUGACACCAACUGGGUGUCCUAUAAUUCAACUACCCAGAGUUAGAGCAGACCCAUAGGUCAAGGAGGGCUCAAUCCCAUGAGACUGCCCUCCUCUUCAGAUGCCAGCUACAGGUUUUGGGCAUCCCUAAGCUACCUGUACUUCUACCCAGACUGCAAAUUCCAGGAUUCCCCUCUGGUGUGAUAAUUCUCUAGACUGACUGAUACAACUCAGGAAAGUGCUAUACUUACUGUUAAAGUUUUAUUAUAAAGGAUGCAACUGAGGAACAUCGAAGAGGAAGAGAUAGAUAUGGCAAAAUAUGAGGAGCAGGGAGUGUGGAGCAUCCAUGGCCUGUCUGGGUAUGUUAUCCAGUACAUUGAUGUCUUCAUCAACCUGAAACCUUCCUGAGCCUGUUUGUUUCAGGGUUUUUUAUGGGAUUUCACUGAGUAGGCAUGAUUGGUUAAAUCAUUGGCUAUUUGAUUGAACUCAAUCUCUAGUCCUUCUCCCCUCCCUGGAAUUCGGGGGAUGAGCCUGAAAGUUUCAGUCCUAUAGUCACCUGCCUAGUUUUUAUGGUGACCAGCUUCCAUCCUGAAGCUAUCUAGGGCUCCCAACCCAGCAGGAGUCACUUAAUUAGCAUAAACUCGGGUAUGGUUGAAAGGGACUCUUGAAUAACAAAAGACACUCCUAUCACUCAGGAAAUUCCAAGGGUUAAGGAGCUCUGUACCAGGAAUCAGGGACAAAGAUCAAAUAUGUUUUUUAUUAUACCACAAAAGAAUAAUAAAAUGAACACAUGUAGCCUACAUCUAAUUAAGGAAUAGAAUGUUUAAGACAGCUUUUUAAGUCUCCCUUGUCACUUUCUGAGUGUAUUCCCCCUCCUUCCUUCCUACAGGAAACCACUAUCCUGAAUUUUGUUACUCAUUGUUACUCAUUACCUUGCUUUUCUUUAGAGUUUACUUUAUUAUAAGGCUACCUAGAUGUAUCCCAAAAAUAUGCAAUGUAUCUUUGCCUUUUUUACCUUCAUAUAAAUGGAGUUAUAUUGCAUGUAUACUUUUGUAACUAAUUUUUUUCCAUUUAACAGUUUCUAAGAGUAAUGCAAAUUUAUGCAUGUAGCCAUAGUUCAUUCUUUUUCACUAGUAUAUAGUAUUUUCUUUUAGAAAUACAGCACACUAGAGUUAUCCAUUAUCUGUUUACUAUUGUCAGCUCAACUGUUAUCAGUAUUUUCAGAUGUGUGCAAAAGUUUCUCUGGCUAAUAUGCCUAGAGGUAGUGUUAUGGACUGAAUUGUGUUUCCUCAAAAUUCAUAUGUUGAGUCCCUAACUCUCAAUACCUCAGAAUGUGACUGCAUUUGGAGAUAGGGCCUUUAAAGAAGUAAUUAAGUUAAAAUGAGGCCUGUAGGGGAAGCAGUAAUCUAAUCUGACUGGUGUCUUUAUAAGAAGAGGAAAUUAGGAUAUACAGAGACACACUGCACGUGUACAUGCAAAGAGGGAAGGCUGUGUGAGGAUGUCUGCAAGAGGACAUCUGCAAGCCAAGGGGAGGGGCCUCAGAAGAAACCAAGCCUGCCCACACCUUGCUCCUGGACUUCUGGCCUCCAAAACAGAAAAUAAAUUUCUGUUGUUUAAGUGACCCAGUCUACAGUAUUUUUGUUAUGGCAGCCCUAUCAGACUAAUAACAGUUAGAAUUGCUAGAUGGUAGAAUUAUGCACAUGUUCAACUUAAUUAGUAUUGCUGAUAUUUUUCUAAAGUGCUUGGGUCAAUUUACAAUCCUACUGGCAGUGUAUGAGAAAUCUUGUUCUACAUCCUUGUGCAAACCUGAUACUGUAAGACUUGACUUUUUCCAGUCUGGUUGGAGAGGAGUGGAAUCUUGUCAUUUUAGUUGCAUUUUCCUGAUAACUGAGAGUUAAAUAACUUUAUAUGUUUCUUGUUUCUAUAUCAAUAAAAUGACUAUUAUAUCUUUG